AUUGAACGCUGGCGGCAGGCCUAACACAUGCAAGUCGAGCGGAGCGGCCGACGGGUGAGUAAUUCCUAGGUAUCUGCCUGGUAGUGGGGGAUAACGUCCUGAAACGGGCGCUAAUACCGCAUACUAUCAGAUGAGCCUAGGUCGGAUUAGCGAGUUGGGGGGGUAAAGGCGUACCAAGGCGACGAUCCGUAACUGGUCUGCGAGGAUGAUCAGACAAACUGGAACUGAGACACGGUCCAGACUCCUACGGGAGGCAGCAGUGGGGAAUAUUGGACAAUGGGCGAAAGCCUGAUCCAGUCAUGCCGCGUGUGUGAAGAAGGUCUUCGGAUUGUAAAGCACUUUAAGUUGGGAGGCGUUACCAACAGAAUAAGCACCGGCUAACUUCGUGCCAGCAGCCGCGGUAAUAC
rnacentral:rRNA from 1 species